rnacentral:lncRNA from 1 species
GUUCAUCAACAUAACCCAGUUAGGGUCGCACUCAUCACGGGGCCCCCAUUGCCUCUGGCGCACCCCACGACUGACAUCUGCGGGGCCUUCGCGCUAGGCUUCGAGUUUCAGCUUCCGCACCAGGCCUGCCUUUCUGCAGGGGCCAGGGUGGGGGUCGUGUGCUGAUUGGGCCCUCUGAACCGCCACCGCUGCAGAGGGGCUGUUCCUUCUGUCACAUCCCUUGUGCCCGAAUCCACCCUGUGUCUUCUCUUUUCUCAGCAGGACAUUUUAAAAGCCCAGACCCCCUCCUUACAGAGCAAAUGUCCAGGCUUCGGAGGUCACUGUCACAUCCCAAGAACCCCCUUCACCAGGUGCCACUCUUGAGACUGGACUGAAGCCCCCUGGAGAGUUCCACUUGCCUUUGUCCUGCUGCCUGAGGUGAGGACAUGGACGGCCGGGUACAAGACGGGGCAGGCAACCUCGCAGUGGUGGUAACCCUGUGCAUGAACCCUGGGCCUGGCACGUGGACCUCCUGUGACCGUCCCCACAGGCCCGUGAGGCUGAGCUUGGCACUGCCCAAGACCACACAGUCCAUGCGCGGUGGAGCUGGGGUCCAGGCUGCCCACCAGGGCAGUGACUACAAUGGUGGCAGCAGGGGACGGUCACCGUCAUGAGCUCAAGCCAGGCGCUGCACUGACCUUGAGGGAGGGCUCCAUGCUUCCCCUUCCCACAGCUGCAGUGAGGCCUAGCAGAGCAGGGUCGGCUGCGGGCUUGAGUCCUGGGGUGCCCCUGGGCUGACGGGCCCUGCCUGACCUGCUCCUCCAGUGCCCCAGCCCUGCCCCACCCACGUCCCCUCCUCUCACUGCCCCCUGGCCCACUCCGCUGCGGUCUCAGUGCCUUCCCAGGCUGGGCAUCAUCUGAUGGGAGGAAAAUGAGGGCCCCAGACUCUGUGUCAUCCUGGCAGGACCCCUCCCCUCCCAUGGCUUUGAGCCCAUGAGAUGGCCUUGGACAAAGCGGCAAUGGGCCCUUCCUGAGACACAGUGCGGCCAUCUACUGGAAAACUGCCCAGUGUGACUCUGAUGACUGUGAUGUGAAUCCUACAGCAAAGUUGAGCAGUGCGCAACCUGGGCUACUGCACCUGGCAGCCCCGGCUCCUCCUCGUCUGCCUCUUCCUGCUCCUUCAUUCUCCCCCAGAGCUCUAAUUGUCACUGAGAUUUUAUGUUUCAUUUAACAAAUGACUGUCUCCCCGCUUGAACAGAACCUCCAUGGGGGGAGGGAAGAGUGUCUGUUGUAUAAAUAGUUGUAUUUCAGUGCAUAAAACAGUGCCUGCC